rnacentral:misc_RNA from 1 species
GAUGAAGAACGUAGCGAAAUGCGAUACUUGGUGUGAAUUGCAGAAUCCCGUGAACCAUCGAGUCUUUGAACGCAAGUUGCGCCUCAAGCCAUUAGGUUGAGGGCACGUCUGCCUGGGCGUCACAUAUCGUUGCCUGAUGCCAGUUUCCUCGUGAUGGGUGACUGUGCAGGGAGAAUGAUGGCUUCCCGUGAGCAUUGUUGCCUCAUGGUUGGUUGAAAAUUGAGUCCUUGGUAGGGAGCGCCGUGAUAGAUGGUGGUUGAGUGACGAACGAGACCCAAUCAUGUGAGACCCCUACCGAAUUUGGCCUUCAUGACCCACAUGCGUCUUUGGAACGCUCAUGACGAGACCUCAGGUCAGGCGGGGCUACCCGCUGAGUUUAAGCAUAUCAAUAAGCGGAGGA